rnacentral:rRNA from 1 species
GACGAACGCUGGCGGCGUGCUUAACACAUGCAAGUCGAACGGAAAGGCCCUGCUUUUGUGGGGUGCUCGAGUGGCGAACGGGUGAGUAACACGUGAGUAUCCUGCCCUUAACUUUGGGAUAACUUCAGGAAACUGGGGCUAAUACCGGAUAGGAGCUCCUGCUGCAUGGUGGGGGUUGGAAAGUUUCGGCGGUUGGGGAUGGACUCGCGGCUUAUCCGCUUGUUGGUGGGGUAGUGGCUUACCAAGGCUUUGACGGGUAGCCGGCCUGGGAGGGUGACCGGCCACAAUGGGACUGAGAUACGGACCAGACUCCUACGGGAGGCAGCAGUGGGGAAUAUUGCACAAUGGGCGGAAGCCUGAUACAGCAACGCCGCGUGCGGGAUGACGGCCUUCGGGUUGUAAACCGCUUUCGCCUGUGACGAAGCGUGAGUGACGGUAAUGGGUAAAGAAGCACCGGCUAACUACGUG